UACGUAGGGUGCGAGCGUUGUCCGGAAUUAUUGGGCGUAAAGAGCUUGUAGGCGGUUUGUCGCGUCUGCCGUGAAAAUUCGAGGCUCAACCUCGAACUUGCGGUGGGUACGGGCAGACUAGAGUGUGGUAGGGGAGACUGGAAUUCCUGGUGUAGCGGUGAAAUGCGCAGAUAUCAGGAGGAACACCGGUGGCGAAGGCGGGUCUCUGGGCCGAAACUGACGCUGAGGAGCGAAAGCAUGGGGAGCAAACAGG
rnacentral:rRNA from 1 species